rnacentral:rRNA from 1 species
UACGGGGGGGGCAAGCGUUGUUCGGAAUUACUGGGCGUAAAGGGCUCGUAGGCGGCCAACUAAGUCAGACGUGAAAUCCCUCGGCUUAACCGGGGAACUGCAUCUGAUACUGGAUGGCUUGAGUUCGGGAGAGGGAUGCGGAAUUCCAGGUGUAGCGGUGAAAUGCGCAGAUAUCGGGAGGAACACCAAUGGCGAAGGCAGCUCGCUGGGACGGUACUGACGCUGAGACGCGAAAGCGUGGGGAGCAAACAGG